rnacentral:rRNA from 1 species
UGGAGAGUUUGAUUCUGGCUCAGGACUAACGUUGGCGGCGUGCCUAAUACAUGCAAGUCGAACGGGAUACUUAGCAGCAAUGUUAAGUGUUCAGUGGCAAACGGGUGAGUAAUGCAUAGGUAACAUACCUUAAAGACGGGGACAACUAUCCGAAAGGAUAGCUAAUACCGGAUGUGAUUGCGGGAUCUCAAGGUUCUGCAAUUAAAGGGCGGCCUCUAUUUAUAAGCUGUCGCUUUAAGAUUGGCCUAUGUCCCAUCAGCUAGUUGGUAGGGUAAUGGCCUACCAAGGCUGCAACGGGUAGCCGGCCUGAGAGGGCGAUCGGCCACACUGGAACUGCGACACGGUCCAGACUCCUACGGGAGGCAGCAGUAGGGAAUUUUCCACAAUGCCCGCAAGGGUGAUGGAGCGACGCCGCGUGAGGGAUGAAGGUCUUCGGAUUGUAAACCUCUUUCGUUUGGGAAUAAGGUUUCAGCACUAAUAUUGCUGAAAUUUGACGGUACCGAAGGAAGAAGCUACGGCUAACUCUGUGCCAGCAGCCGCGGUAAUACAGAGGUAGCGAACGUUGUCCGGAUUUACUGGGCGUAAAGGGCUUGUAGGUGGCCAUAUAAGUCAGUUGUGAAAUCGUUCUGCUUAACAGAACAAUUGCUUCUGAUACUGUAUGGCUUGAGUGCAGGAAGGGAAAAUGGAAUUUCCGGUGUAGCGGUGAAAUGCGUAGAUAUCGGAAAGAACACCUGUGGCGAAGGCGGUUUUCUGGCCUGCAACUGACACUGAGGAGCGAAAGCUAGGGGAGCAAACAGGAUUAGAUACCCUGGUAGUCCUAGCUGUAAACGGUGUACAUUAGGUGUGGGAGAUUCAUUUCUUCCGUGCCGACGCUAACGCAUUAAAUGUACCGCCUGGGAACUACGGCCGCAAGGUUGAAACUCAAAGAAAUUGACGGGGAUCCGCACAAGUGGUGGAGCAUGUGGUUUAAUUCGACGCUACGCGAAGAACCUUACCUGGGCUUGACAUUCUUAUGAUCGCUUUGUGAAAGCUUAGCUUUCUGCCCGCAAGGGUAGACAUUUGAACAGGUGUUGCAUGGUUGUCGUCAGCUCGUGCCGUGAGGUGUUGGGUUUAGUCCUCUAACGAGCGCAACCCCUAUUGCUAGUUGCCAGCGGGUAAUGCCGGGAACUCUAGCGAGACUGCCUGGGAUAACCAGGAGGAAGGAGGGGAUGACGUCAAAUCAUCAUGGCCCUUAUGUCCAGGGCUACACACGUGCUACAAUGGCAGAUACAAAGGGUCGCAAAAUCGCGAGAUGGAGCCAAUCCCAAAAAGUCUGCCUCAGUUCGGAUUACAGUCUGCAACUCGACUGUAUGAAGCUGGAAUCACUAGUAAUCGCGGGUCAGCUACACCGCGGUGAAUACGUUCCCGGGUCUUGUACACACCGCCCGUCACGCUACGAAAGUUGUUUGUACCAGAAAACUCUGAUUCAACCGCAAGGAGAUAGGAGGCUAAGGUAUGAGCAAUGAUUGGAGCGAAGUCGUAACAAGGUAGUCGUACCGGAAGGUGCGGCUGGAUCACCUCCUUUCUAAGGA